AUCACUCAAUUUUACGACUCAUCAUUCUUCGAUAGUACAGUACUGGACUACGGCAGCAGUGACGAGUAACGAGUUAGUGGGAUUUUAUUCAGGGGAGGCAUCAGGGGAAGGGGCUACCUCUUGUAAGGACGGCAGCAGGCGAACAAACUCCUUCAUCAUGCAUCGGGGUAGUAGCGACAAGAAACAACACCACAGGAAAUAGUAUUUGUAGUGAGAGGAAUGAUGGUACUCCAACCCUUUUUAGUAGCAACAAUGGGAGGGCUAGUCUGGCGCCAGCAGCCGUAAUACUCCCUGCCCCAACAGAGUAUAUUAAAGUUGCAGCAGAAAAAAUCCUAGUAGUAGGUUAUCUGGAGGCAGCAAUUAGUCCGCCCUUUUAAUAAGGGUCAGCACAUGAAGUAUUGCGGCAUGUUUUCAUCAUAAUAAAGGGAUAAUAUCAUGAGAGCAUAUCUCCUGAUAUGGGCGUUACCCUUGUUGGGAUGACAGUUACUUUGAGAAAAUUAGAGUGUUUGAAGCAGGCUUUUGUGGCCUUGAAUACUGCAGCAUGGAAUAACAAUAUAGGAUUUCGGUUCUGUUAGUUUGUUGGUUUUCUGUAGGACUGAAAUAACUGAUUAAUAGGGACAGUUGGGGGCACUCGUAUUUAACUGUCAGAGGUGAAAU
rnacentral:rRNA from 1 species